CACAGCUAUGAGAACAAUAAGAUGCUCUAGACUGAUGUUUUCUGAGUGACUGUCUGUAAGACAGCAGUUGCUUUGUAAAGUCAACAGGCUUGCUUCAUAGCUGACCCCAGGCCCCUGAAAUCUCUCUGAUUCCACCUGCCAUUUGUGUUUUGACUGUCGUGUUUAGAAACAUUAUAUGAAAAUGGCCCUAACAGGCCUCUGAUGCUAAGAAUGAACUAGGAGCACCCCUAUUCUACAAACAAGUCACCAGUUUUUAGGACUCCUUUAAAAUGAAAGG
rnacentral:lncRNA from 1 species